rnacentral:rRNA from 1 species
UACGAAGGGGGCUAGCGUUGCUCGGAAUCACUGGGCGUAAAGCGCACGUAGGCGGAUUGCUAAGUCAGGGGUGAAAUCCUGGAGCUCAACUCCAGAACUGCCUUUGAUACUGGCGAUCUUGAAUCCGGGAGAGGUGAGUGGAAUUCCGAGUGUAGAGGUGAAAUUCGUAGAUAUUCGGAAGAACACCAGUGGCGAAGGCGGCUCGCUGGACCGGCAUUGACGCUGAGGUGCGAAAGCGUGGGGAGCAAACAGG